rnacentral:rRNA from 1 species
ACAGAGGGUGCGAGCGUUGUCCGGAAUUACUGGGCGUAAAGGGCGCGUAGGCGGCUUGGUGAGUCGGGGGUGAAAGUCAGCGGCUCAACCGCUGGACUGCCUUCGAGACUGCCUGGCUUGAGCAUGGUAGAGGCUGGCGGAAUUCCCGGUGUAGCGGUGGAAUGCGUAGAGAUCGGGAAGAACAUCGGUGGCGAAGGCGGCCAGCUGGGCCAUUGCUGACGCUGAUGCGCGACAGCGUGGGGAGCAAACAGGA